GCCGGAAUAGCUCAGUUGGGAGAGCGUUAGACUGAAGUUGUUUAAGCAACAAUCAUCUUAAGGCGGCCGGUUCAAUCCCGGGUUCCGACA
rnacentral:tRNA from 1 species